CAGACACCAGGCCUGGCCUUACACGCAGUGCGGUUCCCAGCCAACUGGCAGCUCUCCACCACAAAUGACUGUUAUUCUGCUAUUUCCAGGUCCUUCCCCAACACCGGAGCUUGGUCCCCACCUAUAGAUACAGCACAGAGACACAAGGAUGCUAACACCACUGGAGCAACCUUCAGCAACUGGAGGAUGGGCCUGUGGUUCACAGAGGAGUCCAGAUAGAGCCAUAUGGGAGGCGUUGUGGAGGAUAAGAGGACAACUUCAGUGUUCAUUACUAGCUAAGUACCCAGGUGAAUGCAACUACAGGAGAGACCCAGGC
rnacentral:lncRNA from 1 species